UAAAUUGAGAGUACUAACGUUUGGGAGAAGUUGCACAAAAGGGACUCAAGUUUCAGAAAUUGCACAUAGGGUACUCAACUCAAACUUUACCUUCUACAACAGGUUAACCCAACUUUAAAAAAAAAAAAGAAAAAGAAAAUUCUGACAUAAAGUCAGAAGGUACUAACGGUUGUAAUUGUUUUAUUUUUUGAGCAAUUAAAAUAUUGCCGUUUGAACUCCAAGAAUAACAGACUUCUAUUUAAAUUCCUCUCCACAGACAUCUUCAUCAAUUUUCAUUUUCUGCAAAAAAAAAAAAAAAAAAAAAAAAAAAAUCAGAACAAACUAUUUCAUAAAAUUACAGGAAAAAUUAUAAAUUUUUAGAAAGAACUUGUAACAUGUCAAGGAUUGGGAAGGUGUUAGUUGAAGGAGAGCAAACUGUCUACUCCUUCAGCCAAGACCAGUACCCUAUGUCAAGCCAGCAGCAGAGCCAAGACAGCAACAGCAUUACAAGUCAAGCAUUGCAGGAUUUAGCAAAGAAAAAGAGAAACAGCAAGAACUAGCAGCACAAGAAAAUGAAAAUUGAUGAAGAUGGUUGUGGAGAGGAAUUUAAAUAGAAUUCUGUUAUUCUUGGAGUUCAAAUGACAAUAUUUUAAUUGCUCAAAAAAUAAAACAAUUACAAACGUUAGUACCUUCUGACUUUAUGUCAGAAUUUUCUUUUUCCUUUUUUUUAAAGUUGGGUUAACCUGUUGUAGAAGGUAAAGUUUCAGUUGAGUACUCUAUCUGCAAUUUGUGAAACUUGAGUCCCUUAUCUGCAACUUGUCCCAAACAUUAGUACUCUCAAUUUAUAAUAAAUUUGCUGCCCUGUUUACUGAUUUGAUGAAA